GACGCCUGUCAGCGGGCUCACCAACCGGGACACCCUGGCUGUCAUCCGCCACUUCCGCGAGCCCAUCCGUCUCAAGACUGUGAAACCAGUUCAAAGCUGGAGACUGGAUACUGACAUGUUCAUGACCUUGUGUACAAGCUGAAAGCCGCUGAAAGCUACAGGCCAAUGGGGCUCUGCUUUACUUCUGCCUUCCAUAUCUUGUGUCCUGCAUCUUAAUUGUGGAAUCAGAUUUGCAUCCAGAAUACUAGCUAUAAAGGAGUCUGGAAAAUACGGUUUUUAGUUUUCCAACUUCUGCAUUUCAGGAAGGCAUACUACAAGGAGGAGGUCGCUGAGUGAUAGCUGAUCCUUUCCCAGGCACUCAUCUUUUUAAACAUAGUAUUUUAAUUACAAUUUAGCCCAUUCUUGAUGACUUAUUGUCAUUUCUGUGAGCUCUCUUUUCAUAAUGGCCUGUAGUUGGAAUGAUCAUAGGGCCAAGGGAUUUUAACAUCUGUAGUAACUUUUUGUCCUAGGUUAGCUUGUAUCUCUCUCACCUCCCAUAACUGCUGCUGAGACAUCUAUGUUUGAUAUCAUUUGAUGUCAACCUCCCCUGCAAGCCACAGGCAGGGAGAGCACCUCACCCAAAGCAACCAAUUUAUUGGCUGGUCAGCAACCUGUGAUUUCUGUAGCUUAAAAAGAUGAGUGGGGCUUAUUAUCUUUUGAACCAAGACAAAAAGGAAAGAAUUUCCAAUUAAGGGUGGGAGCUUCAGCUGAGAGGUUUUGAAGUGAGUUGGCUGUAUUCUUUUGCAAGACCAAUUGUUAAAUUUUCAAGAAUUUUGUGAGUUGCCAAACAGCCUUUUUUAAGAAUUAAGUUGCAUAAUAAUUUAAUAAAAACAAAGAUAAUAAAUACUCAAAA
rnacentral:sRNA from 1 species